UUAUAUCCCUUAACCAAUCACUACUGUUUCGAGCUUCUCUGCUUGUUUGUUCCCUACAAUUUAUUUUUGCAUUUUUCUUUCUUUUUUUUAUUUUUCUAUGAAGUGGAUUUUUCAGUUGUCUCCUCCCUUUUUCAAAAUAGAAAUCUGUACAACAAUUAUAAGGGAAAUUCAAAUAUCCUGUAUUUUCGCAACGUAGAAACUUUAUUG
rnacentral:lncRNA from 1 species